rnacentral:tRNA from 1 species
GGCACAGUGGUGCAGUGGGUAGCACUGCUGCCUCACAGCUAGAUGGUCCUGGGAUCGGAUCCUUGCUGGGGCC